GAAGCCCGGCCCACAUCCCCGCACGUGAACCCUAGCGCUAUCCCUUGCAGCCGCCUCCCACCGCCGCUCCAGAUCCAGAUCCGCCUCCCUCUCCGCUUGCUGCCUCCCUCUCCACUCGCCGCCGGUCUACACCCUCCCCUCCCCUCCCUCUCCCCUACCUUUGCCGCCCAUCUUCGCUGCCGCGCAUCCAUAGGAGCAACACGAGCGGCGCGCCAUGGGGCGGGACCGCCAACUUCUUCUCAUCACCGCUCGCCGCGGAAUGGAUAUAAGGGGCCGGCUGUCGCCGCGCGCUGUUCCUGCGGGUUGUCGCUGCGGGGGCCGGCUGUGUCCUCCUCCCGCCCGUGGAGGAUGACGAGGGCGAGGACGCGGAGGCCGGCGAAGGGGGAGGUGGUGGAGGGGUGCGCCCACUCUGGUACGAGCUAACUCGUGUGUGAUCCCGGGCACCGCAGGGCCAGCGACAAGUCCGUGAAGGAGAAGCGCAAGAUCGUCAAUGGAGACGACCUGAUCUGGUCCAUGGGCACGCUCGGCUUCGAGGACUACGUCGAGCCCCUCAAGCUGCACCUCAAGAUCUAUCGGGAGUAGAGGCUGAUGGCGUGACGGAGGCGUGCCCUGAUUUGCUCGUGCAAGCCCAAACAGGGAUCACGUCGUGGCAACGCUACAGUCGUGGCUCGAGCUAGAUCACCAUGGCGAUGCACAACACAAGACCCCGCUGUUGGAUUCAUUUCUCUGCAGGCCUUCAAGUACAAGAGGCUUCUGCUUGACUAUAACAGCGUACAUGACCAACAAUUCUGCUGAUGAGUAGCAUCUCUUAUUUAGCCAUUGUUUCAGCAAUUUUCACUUAAGCAGACAUGUGUUUUGGUUUUCAGUUCCUGCAUAGGCAUCGCUGAUAAGAUAAAUAAUAACAACUGUAUAAACGGAGGUGGUUGGGUAGCAUGGAUUAUGCUGGACUGACUAAGCUUGAGUCCAAAUUUCCUUCGUUUUGAAUUCAGUUAGCCAUUGUUUGAGCAAAUCAUUUCUACAUGCAUGUGUACUGGGGUUAGUACUAUCUACUAUGGUGAAUGCCAUGCAAACAAUUAAGUUGCUUCAUUUGAUUGCCUGCUACAUCUCCACUUAAAUACUCAUAAUGCUACUGUCCAGAUCUUGUUCAAUUGGACUGACUACAUAUCUCUUGUUAAAAUUGUGGUUUUGAUCUUUUGUUUAAACCUGAGACAUCAUGCAUAACUAGCUCUUCCUUUAGAGUCUAAACCUGAGACCUCUUUUGUUUUAUAUUCAGUUCUAUGAUUGAUGGUCACACUGCUGUUUUGCUAUGCUUGAUAAACCUGAGACCUCUUUCUAUUCUUAUUCUUUAGGUCACACUGUUGUUUUGCUGUGGUUGAUAAACCUGAGGCUUCUUUCUAUUUUUCAAGGCGGUUUUGUUUAGGCCAGCCAUGGAGCAAAAAGAACGGACAUUGCUACUUAAUCAAGAGGGAAUACCCGACGAGGCCAUGAUGCUUACCUUGCUCGGGCGCAUCAACCCCAACCAUGGCACCACAUUCACAGUCUUGAGGUAGCCGUGCUGCAACUACAUCAACGCUAUCUUCUCUGACUAGAUAAGUCUUCGGUCUAUCCCCUUAUUUUCUUUUGUUCUUUGGUCGAUGGGCCAUGAUGCCAUUGUGUUGAUUCCCUAUGUGAUGCAGAAGCUAUGGUGUUUUGUUUUAAGUCUGUUAUAAAUUGUAAUUGAUAAUGAUUUGUGUAAAAUUAGUGUAGAACAUAUGUCUUGUUAUCUUAAAUUGUUCAUGUCGUGCUCAAUGAACCAUCAAAGAUUAAAUUGUUUUCUGCGUUCAACAUCUAGAACCAUUUUGGGAGUUUUGGUAUACAUGCAACAACUAUGCCUUCUUGUAUUCUGAACAACCAUUUCUGGAAGUUUUGGUAUUCAUGCAACAACUAGUCCUUGUGGUUAUUACGGUUACAUGUUACAUGUAGAGAUGGUUCAUGAUUUAGUCCCUAGCUGCUAUCUAUCUUUGUUUUUAUUUUGUUUCUAACUCUUUUGGUUAAUUGUUAGAUGCCUUUGUUCAGAUUGUACGGACAUAUCCAGAAAUGGUGUUUCCUCUCAUGUAAAGAGCUCCAGCCUGAAAGUGAAGAAGUUUGGAGUGUAUUUGUAGCAGGUUUAUAUGUUGUGAUGGUAUCACAUGUAAUGGUGAAAUGAAUUAUGUAAAGAUUGUGCUAUUAGCCAAAAUUGGCAUGUGGUUUGAUAAUUCUCAUUUGUUUGCUGUUUUGACUGAAAUAAUUGUGUGGAAAUUGAAACAUUGGUUGUCUUUAAUUA